UCAGUUGCAGGAAUUCGUUGAAGGAAAUACCAGUUCAAUGUGCAAUUUUGAGCUGGAUGAUUCUGAUCCGACAAAAUAUAUGGAUUACCUCAACGACGAAAUAUAUGGAUUACCUCAACAAGAAUCUAAAUGAUUCACUGAGGCAUCUAUUCGGUGUGUCUAACCCAUAUAGGAAAAAGGAAAUGAAAAUCCUUAAGAAGCAAUUGACCUUCAUUCCGAAGAAAAUGAGGUUUCUAAGAUACUUAUAUGACA
rnacentral:lncRNA from 1 species